GGCGCCCUGAGCCUGUCUCUGGCUUGGCUCUUGCGGCGAGACCGCCCUGCUGUCAUGGCUCCUCCGCCCUUGUCGCUGCCGCUUUGCAUUCUGCCGCCGGGCUCCGGCUCUCCCCGCUUGGUGUGCUACUGCGAGCCGGAGAAUGGUGGAGACUGGGACCGCGACGAUUUCAACCUCUAGUGAGUGGAGUGUAGGGAUGUGGGGUGCGGGAGCGCAGCGGGCGCAGUGUCUGACAGCCCCUCCCACCCAGUGUGACGGACGCCGCGGAGCUCUGGAGCACCUGCUUCUCGCCUGACAGCCUGGCGACGCUCGUGCGUAACUGCACUGGGGAUAGAAGACAUCUGGAAGCUUGCCACCUCCCACCCCUCCCCGUGGCAGUGGUUCUAAUAGCAUUUCCAAGGUUGGGCAGUUUGGAAUGUCCAGUGGGUCCAGGGUCCUGGGCACUUAGUGACAAUUACGUGUUUCCAACAGAAAGCCCGAUUUGGCCUAAGUGGGACUGAGGAUAUCCAUUCCCGGUUCAGGGCAGCCUGCCAACAGCAGGCAGUGACUGUAAGACUGCAAGAGGACAGAGCAUUGAUGACCCUUUCAGGGGAUACCUCUGCCCUGGCCUUUGACCUCUCCAAGGUGCCCAGCCCAGAGGCAGCCCCCAGGCUGCAGGCUUUGACUCUCAGCCUGGCAGAGCAUGUAUGCAACCUGGAGAGGCGGCUGGCAGCCACAGAAGAGACCGCCAUUAGCCCCAGGAAGAGCACCCAGCCAGCAGGCACUCAGUUCUUACCAGAACUUGAUCACCAGAGAGGCAGCUCUGGGUCUGGGGUCAGGAGACGGUGUCCAGGGGAGUCUCUCGUCAACCCUGGUUUCAAAAGGUACUUGCCACCUGUCUUCCCUACCCUGGUCCCUUCCUUUUCCUCUUUGCCUUACAUACUCUCUUGCCUUCUAGUAAGAAACCAGCUGGUGGUGUAGACUUCGAUGAGACCUGAAGCUAGCAAAGCCUGUGUGACCUUGCCAGGAGUCUGUCUGCAAGGAAAGGGGACAUCUAGGACCCCUAACCAGAGACACCCUUUGCUUCACUUCCCCUGUGGUCCUGCUGAUGGGCAAAAGUACCUCUCAUCCCUUCCCCAUCAAAUAAACUGCUCCCUUGGGGAGAGAUGCUAGGCC
rnacentral:lncRNA from 1 species